rnacentral:tRNA from 1 species
UGUGCCCUUAGCUCAGUUGGAUAGAGCAACGGCCUUCUAAGCUGUGGGUCGUAGGUUCGAAUCCUACUGGGCACAU